CUACGGGUGGCUCCAGUGGGGAAUAUUGCACAAUGGGGGAAACCCUGAUGCAGCGACGCCGCGUGAGUGAAGAAGUAUUUCGGUAUGUAAAGCUCUAUCAGCAAGGAAGAAAAUGACGGUACUUGACUAAGAAGCCCCGGCGUAGCUACGUGCCAGCAGCCGCGGUAAUACGUAGGGGGCAAGCGUUAUCCGGAUUUACUGGGUGUAAAGGGAGCGUAGACGGCAUAGUAAGUCUGAUGUGAAAGCCCGGGGCUCAACCCCGGGACUGCAUUGGAAACUACUAAGCUAGAGUGCAGGAGAGGUAAGUGGAAUUCCUAGUGUAGCGGUGAAAUGCGUAGAUAUUAGGAGGAACACCAGUGGCGAAGGCGACUUACUGGACUGUAACUGACGUUGAGGCUCGAAAGCGUGGGGAGCAAACAGGAUUAGAUACCCGAGUAGUC
rnacentral:rRNA from 1 species